CCCCCCCCCCUCCCCGCCGCCCCAAACUCCUUCCUCAGGACCGUGGGAUGCUGGCGAGCCCUGGCGAGAGUUGCCGGUCUCCAUUUCCAAGCGGGGAGCCGCCGGGAGCGGCCCCCUCUGUUCUCCAGCCUUAUUACAUGGGGUUUUUGUCUCUCCAAGUCAUUCCUCAGCAUCGCCUUGAAUGGCAUCUACUGCACAUAACUUUUUCAGCCCACAAGGCUGAAACACUUCCUGUGACUGAAAUGGCUCCAACACAGCUAUUUCCUAGAAGACAUUCUCCCUGAUUUCUUGUGGUGCCUGUAAGAUAACUGGAGAUGCAGGGAUGAGGUGACCAAAUUUGAAGACAGUAUUCAAAGUGAGGAUGUGCCACUGAUUUAUAUAAUGGCAUUAUAAUAUUUUCUGUAUUAUUCUCUAAAACUCUUUUCUUUGUACAAACCCCAUAAGAUUCUUUUUAAUUCUUUGAACUAUAGUGCCUUUUAACAUCUGUAGUUUACUCUGAUCAGAUUUUGACAAAGGAAUAAAAGGCUCCAUUUUUCACAUAGAAUUUUAUUUAUUGUUUGAACUUUAGCGGAGAAAUUGGUUAACUUACAAUUUAAAAUUCUUGGCAAUGUAGACCAUUGGGCAAGGAUUUCGUUAUUAGUCCUUCUAUACUUUCUAGUAAGAAAGUGCAAGGCUGAAAGUUGGUGUACAAGGUCUUGGUUCAAAAGACUUGAAUUUCGUACUAUAAACAGAGCCAAAGACUUAUUUGGAGCUGCGAGAUUGCCCAAAGAUAUCAGACAUGUCAUUCUUCUGUACCCCCUUCCUGAUGCAGGAUGCUGAGGCUGUGCACUUACAUGGCAUCCAGGCAGUGCCAUGCAUGUAUGCAAGCAAUAACUGAGCACUGCGGUCUCCUGUUUACUGUACCUCAUACCUCCACCCUAGGUCAGGGGAAGACCCCUUUGAAAAUGAGGCGCUUGAUGACUGCAGAGGGUGAAGAUCUUGCUGUCAUGUCACAGCUGGGCAUGAUGCCUUCAUCAAGGUGUUACAAAAGGCUCAAGGAAAACAGCUACAUACAUUCUGUUGCCUAAGACACUUCCCGCAGCUACCGGCUUGCCUUAGAGUUACCAAUCCAAGUGCUGACCCUGCCUGACCCUACUUAUCUUGUAAAAGCUGACAAGAUCACAGCCUGAAGCAGUAUAGCCACAGGCUCAAUACUGGCUACCAAAAUGUCUGUUUAGUGUUUUCAGGAAGCAUUGCUCUUAAGAUUUACAAUACCAGCUGCUAGAAAUAUAGACAACACCAAAACACAGCCCUGACCCCUGAAUGUUCAGCCUCAGACAGAUAUUUGUGCCUCUCAAGGGGCCAGCACUGAGUUGCUACAAAAUAGUUAUUCCCUACCUUUAAGUGAGCUGGAAUUGAAGCAUCUUAUGAAUGUAUACAUGCAGAUACUGGGGGGAAAUAUUUGAAGACUACAGUCCUGAGUUCAGAAUUCGUUGUUAGCUUCUUUCAUCUGUUGCAUUACUACUUCUACAGUAGAAAGAGCUCUGCCAUUUAUGUGUAAUAUCUUUUAUUUAUUUAUUUAUUUAUUUAUUGGUUUAGUAUAGAAAAUUGUCUUAAUUCUUCCAUGACCAAAGCAAUUUUUCAUCAGAAUUUAUUUUAAGAUGAACUGUAACUUUCUUCCCUAGCAAACAUUUUGCUUCUCUGUAUGACAGCAAACACAUAUUUUCCUGAAUAUCUUAAAGGAUAAACACAUGUUUAAAUACCCAAGAAAUAUUAAGGGACCAAUCUGGUUUAGUUGUUUGUACAUUCAUACACAAUAUAAAUUCAUAGUUCUUGCGGGGUGGGGUUUUGUUGUUAUUGGGCUUUGUUUUUGUUUUUUAAGAAAACCAAAGACAUGGAAAAGACACUGAGGUCUUAUUGCUCCUAUCGGAAACUUUUGCUGACUACAGCAAGAGUUGGAUUGGGCCCAGAGAAACCAAAUACACACAAGGAAGAAUGAGUUGGCCAUGCAAGCAAGGAAAAUCACAGAUAACGGAUGCACACAAAUUAGCAAUGUACCUUUAAGGUCACCCAGGAGAGCUUGCUGACACCGUGAGGUUGUUUCCUAUGGCAUAUUUUUUGGUUGUUUUCUGUGCCUAGAUUAAAUGUGCUAAGUGAGGCCAUGUCCCUAGGGAGAGAUUGUGCUGUCUAGUGUAUCUUGUUAGAUUUUUUUUUUCUUCCCCUUUCUCCACAUCCUAGUUAUGUUCCUUUGCAAACCCCCUUCUUUUCCUUCAUGGAUGCUAUUUACCUCCAGUGUCUUUAGAUUACAAUGAUGUUGCAUUUAGUUAACAUUAAGUCAGCCCACACCUAUUUAGCUCAUUUAAUUUUCUCUGACAAAUCACUCCUUUCAGUCCCCUGAUUCUUCUUCUUCUCCUGUUGUCCCAUUCCUGCCUGUCAAUAUCUUUUGUGGUUAUCAGAUUUUAAAGAUGUGAUGUAUUUCUCUUAACUAACGACAGACCUGGUAUAGAUCCGAGCACCCUCAAUGUCUUCUCAAUGAAAAACACUCCUGAUACAUCCAGGGGAAAGUCAUUGGUUCUUUGAGCAGACACACAGAUUAAAGGGGAAAAAACAGUGCCAUCCAGACACCUGCCUCUGGCCUUGAUGUACUUAAGUGCAGAGAGGAAGAAACCGGGCCAAAAAAGACUCAAAAAUAAAUCAAGUCAGGAUGUGUACUAACUUUUUGUGGGUACCACCUCACCUUUGAAAAGGAAUCUUGUGUUACUGUCAGCAGAACCAGCCAUACCUUCAGUGCGUCCUCCUAGAAGGAUAUUGACUGUGGUCUACUGCAUGCUCUCACACAGUCUCAGUCCACUUCACCAUCUUUUUGCUGUCUCAUGAAGUCACAUACCAACCAGCUAUUGUCUAAAACAGUGGUGAAGAUAAUGGAAGGAUUUUACUUUUAGCUGAUGUUAAGCUGAAAAAUAAAACACAUUCAAGCUUGGUUCAUAUUCUAGUUUUGGUCUGGGCUAUUCAAUGUCAGUCAGUCCUACUUCAUCAAAUAACCACACCUUAAGGGGAGACCUACUUGCAAAGAUAACUCCUUCCACCAUGCCUGUUUGCUUCCCAUGACACCUCAUUCUGUGCAAUGAUGGAAGGGAUGUUAAAAGUUGGAGAACAACAGUGCUGGACAAAAAAGGAUUUCUUGUGCGCUUGUGGUUUGUGAAGCCUUGAUUGUUUAAUUAACGUGCCAGUUACACUUGGAUUUUCAGCUUCAGCAACCAAUGUGUUUUUAUGUUUAAAUUUGAUUUGAGUGUCCCUGACAAAGCUCUGCUCUUCAUUUUUUGUGUAUUUAUAUUUUGGUUGAAGAUUACGUAAAUAUCUAUCAUGAUGAUUACUUUAAACAGUGCUCUAUCUGCUCCUUCCACCAAACCUGGAACACUUGCUUUAAGAUUAGCCUUGUCAGAUUUGCUUAAAGUGACCAGGCAAAUAUGUACAACUAAUUUUGUUAUAGGCAAAAUUAACUAAUGCUCUUUUUCAUGGUGAGAUGCUGUAAUGAUUUUAUAUAGCAGUCAAACUAUUUAAAUACUAAUGCUGCCUUCAUGCUGUAAUCACCAUUCCAGUCAGAUGUCAGUUUUAGUAGCCAAUAGGGAAUUCCAUCCCUUAAUUAUUCUUCAAUACACAAACCAAGCAUUCUUUAAUUGGUGUAAAUUGAACAGCGUUCCAAUGCAAACAAGGAGAGGACAAACUAAUCAAUGAUUCUGUGCAUGUCUAUUGGAAAGCUAUUGCCAUUAGAUCAAGUAACAAAUCCUUGACUCCAUUAGCUUCAGAGAGAGGAAUGGUGGGGGAAAAAUACUGUUAAUUCUACUCCUUGUUAUCAAUCUGUAGUGGGAAGCAUGAAGCAAAUCAUAUAGCGAAACUCCAGCUUUUCUUGAAAGUACUCAUGGAAAUUUAAAAUAUGAAGAUAUUCUGACUUCAGAAUCCCCAGUCAUACGUCUUUGGUGGGGGUUUGUCUGGAAACAAUGUGUUUUUAUCCUCUGCUGCCUCUAGUCAUGUGGCCUGUUUUUUAUUUUUCUCUUUUAAAUAAACAACUCUUGAAUGAUAACAUAACUUUUUCAACUUGUCAGGAAUUUUUUUUUGGUGAAUUUUCUUGCUCUCUCAGGCUACGCUCCAUAUAUUCAUAUGUAUUCACUACUGCAGCACAACAGAAAUUGGGUGGCUCUCCCGUUUCUUUUUUUAAUAUGAUCUGAAAUAAAGGUGCUAUAUUUAAGAAACAGAUGAAAAAUCCGUCUCAUAAAUGUGUCACACUCACUUUUCAUUCUUGUCUCUUUUUAUCAAUUCUCUAAAACUGAUUAUUUAUCACUGGAGAGGGAAGAAAAAAAAAGCAAAAGGCCCAUUACAAACCUCUGGCCCAGAUCUGCCAGUCUUACAGUUUUAGUUACUGUGGAAAGCGAAACUCUUCUGGAAAGAAAUAUACUGGCUAUGGAUGUUCACUUUUUAAUCUAUUUGUUUUUGAUAUAAUAUGCUAUUUACUGUUUAAGGACCUUUCAUGUUGGUUUAAAUUGAAGUUUUUAAAACCAGUCUAGCAUAAAAAGCUCUAAGUGACAUAGACUUGGUGGAGAAAUAAAGCAUCUUCUACAGACAGCCUUUGUUCAGUACAUUAUAGUUGAAAGAAGCGUAGAACAGGCUCAGUAGACAACCUACCUUCUUAAAACAAGAGGGCUUCUAAUUUCCACAUGUCGUAAUCACAGUCACAUUACUUUGCUCUCUGUGCUAGACCCCUCAGGGCUGGCUCUAGGUUUUGCUGUGAAGUCACGUGUGGGG